UGCCCAGCAACUCCUAUCCCUACCUCCGCGUGGCACCUUAGGGAAGAUCGGGUGACCAACCCCGGUGGGAACUUUGGUCGAAGGCUAACAGGGAAGG
rnacentral:ribozyme from 1 species